rnacentral:rRNA from 1 species
UACGGGGGGGGCAAGCGUUGUUCGGAAUUACUGGGCGUAAAGGGCUCGUAGGUGGCCAACUAAGUCGGACGUGAAAUCCCUCAGCUUAACUGGGGAACUGCGUCCGAUACUGGAUGGCUCGAGUUUGGGAGAGGGAUGCGGAAUUCCAGGUGUAGCGGUGAAAUGCGUAGAUAUCUGGAGGAACACCAAUGGCGAAGGCAGCCUUCUGGGCCAACACUGACGCUCAUGCACGAAAGCGUGGGGAGCAAACAGG